UUCUGUCUGGAGAUUUAAUAUUAAUCAUUUAAUGAUAAGCACUAGUCCAAAAGGAAGAGAAGGUAGCUUGGUGCCUUGGGUCCUGCUUCACAGAUUUUGGUUCAGGAACAACAUUGCACGUUGAAAGGA